rnacentral:lncRNA from 1 species
UUAACAUCAAGCUUUAAAAAGAAAUUUGCCUGUCAGAUCCAAUGAUCUGAGAAUUACUAUAAACACGUUAUUUACUAUAAAAUUACAUGCUAAUCUAGACAUAACACACUUGCAGGCAAAGUCACUUUCUGGAAAUAACCAUGACGGAGUCAAAGACUCCUCAGAAACCACUGAGGCCAGUGCUUCCCAAAUAUGGUUAUAUAUCAGAAGCAUAUGAGAAACUUGGCCAGGUGCAGUGGCUCAUGCCUGUAAUUCCAGCACUUUGGGAGGCUGAGUGGGGUGAAUCACUUGAGGUCAGGAAUUUGAGACCAGCCUGGUCAACAUGGUGAAAUCCCAUCUCUACUAAAAAUAGAAAAAUUAGCUGGGCGUGGUGGCAUGCGCCUGCAGUCCCAGCUACUCGGGAGUCUGAGGCAGGAGAAUUGCUUGAAUUGGGGAGGCA